GGGGCUGUAGCUCAGAGGCAGAGUACUUGCCUAGCAUGCAUAAGACACUAGGUUCAAUCCUCAGCACCA
rfam:Ictidomys tridecemlineatus contig099978, whole genome shotgun sequence.